UGUACUUGUUGAAAUUCUCACAAUCUCUCUAUCUUUCACACUCAUUUACGGUUUCAUUGUCUUUAGAGAGAAAGAACAAAAACCAUUUUACUAUAAUCUUCUACAUUGAUAAUUGAUUGGAUUACGAGGAUAACAUUACACAACAUCACACACACACUCUUAUACUAGUUUUACUUCUACUUACUAGUUACUACACACACUUGCACCAUGCUUCUACUUGGACUCUAGACAUAACAACUUCUACUAGGCCAUUCUUCUAGGCUCUAGUUUACAAGCAACCUUACCUUAGACUACAACCACUCUCAUUUAGCUACUCUAGCUUAGCUUAAUUAUUUAUAAGCACACCAUACACACAUAAUCUGGGCUCAACUCUACUAACGGCCCAUUUACAAACCAAAACACACAAUUACUAUGUGGGCUUCACUCCAGCCCAAUAGCCUCAUCUUUGACUUUCUCUUCUCUUCUGUUGACUCUUCUUCUUCGACAACUUCUUCUCCUUUUGCUUUGCUUUUGCAUCUUCUCUUUUCUUCUUCAUCUUCUUCUCACUUGAAGCUUUUCUCUUUUGCAGGUUUAAUCAAGAACUCAAUCUCAACACUCCCUCUUGAGUUCUUCGAUUAAAUCCCCAAUUUCAAUUUUAGGGCUUUCAAUCCCAUGGCUUCUUCUUCUUCGAUAGAUCGCCUCUCUUCUCUUCUUCGGCGAGCAUCUCCUUCUUGCUUCUAUUCCUUUAAUAGAGCUUCUUUCUCUAUCGUGGUGCAUAGCUUCUCCAACGACAGCUAGAGGUCACAACUCUCACAGAUCACCAGUCACCGUCACGGUGAAAGUCUCCGCCGCGUCUUCAACCACCACUUUCUCCGAAACACUUCAACUCUUUGCCAUGAGCCUUCCAUGUCUCCUCCAAGUUUUCUCCUUCGUGAGCUCUUCUCACGUUCUCAUUAAAUUUCUUCUCCAUGAGACCAUGACCACUCGUCAUGUCUCUUGCUCGGCUGACAUUGCAACCGGCUUCAGCUCCCACUGUGGUUUUGAUCCACUCAGAUUUCAACCCUAGUCACGGAUUGGAGCUUCUCGACACCAUUGCUGCCACCUUAGUUGCUUCCUCUUUGACGCAAGACUACAUAGUCUACAUUUCAUCUUGGAGGUUGCAACCAAGCUUACAUUGGUGCCUUCUUCCUUCUUUGCCUCAGCUUCUUCUGCUGCAGGCAUCUCCUCUCUAGUUCCGAAUCCUCUUGGUAUUUUUAACCAAGGUUUCUUCUUUCUCCUCGUUUCAGCUGAAGAAUCGCAUGGAAUCUCCACUUCAUCGAGCAUAUUUGAGCUUCACCAAGACAAUGUCGAACAAGGAUUGAAUUCAUCACCUUUCACAACACCAUCUCCACACCGUUGUCUUCAUUGCUUCUUCCAGAAGAUCUCCACGUCUACUUGGAUGCACCUGAAGCCCUCCUUCUCUAAGGCUCUUCUCUUCUUUUGUCUUGAGCACAGAUCCACUCAAGAUUUAAAUCUCUUGCCUUGAGCUCAGGUCCACUCAAGGUCUCACUCUCUUCUUCUUCUUCUUCCACGGCUUCUUUGCCGUCUCACUUACAGCAGCUUCUUGGGCUGCAUCAUCUCUUCAUCUUUGCCGUCUUCUUCUUACGGCCAGCUUUCUUCUUUGUUGAUGGCUGUCUCCAUCUUCCUCACAGCUUCUUCUUCC